UUGAAGAGUUUGAUCAUGGCUCAGAUUGAACGCUGGCGGCAGGCCUAACACAUGCAAGUCGAGCGGUAGCACAGAGAGCUUGCUCUCGGGUGACGAGCGGCGGACGGGUGAGUAAUGUCUGGGAAACUGCCUGAUGGAGGGGGAUAACUACUGGAAACGGUAGCUAAUACCGCAUAACGUCGCAAGACCAAAGUGGGGGACCUUCGGGCCUCAUGCCAUCAGAUGUGCCCAGAUGGGAUUAGCUAGUAGGUGGGGUAACGGCUCACCUAGGCGACGAUCCCUAGCUGGUCUGAGAGGAUGACCAGCCACACUGGAACUGAGACACGGUCCAGACUCCUACGGGAGGCAGCAGUGGGGAAUAUUGCACAAUGGGCGCAAGCCUGAUGCAGCCAUGCCGCGUGUGUGAAGAAGGCCUUCGGGUUGUAAAGCACUUUCAGCGGGGAGGAAGGCGAUAAGGUUAAUAACCUUGUCGAUUGACGUUACCCGCAGAAGAAGCACCGGCUAACUCCGUGCCAGCAGCCGCGGUAAUACGGAGGGUGCAAGCGUUAAUCGGAAUUACUGGGCGUAAAGCGCACGCAGGCGGUCUGUCAAGUCGGAUGUGAAAUCCCCGGGCUCAACCUGGGAACUGCAUUCGAAACUGGCAGGCUAGAGUCUUGUAGAGGGGGGUAGAAUUCCAGGUGUAGCGGUGAAAUGCGUAGAGAUCUGGAGGAAUACCGGUGGCGAAGGCGGCCCCCUGGACAAAGACUGACGCUCAGGUGCGAAAGCGUGGGGAGCAAACAGGAUUAGAUACCCUGGUAGUCCACGCCGUAAACGAUGUCGAUUUGGAGGUUGUGCCCUUGAGGCGUGGCUUCCGGAGCUAACGCGUUAAAUCGACCGCCUGGGGAGUACGGCCGCAAGGUUAAAACUCAAAUGAAUUGACGGGGGCCCGCACAAGCGGUGGAGCAUGUGGUUUAAUUCGAUGCAACGCGAAGAACCUUACCUGGUCUUGACAUCCACAGAACUUUCCAGAGAUGGAUUGGUGCCUUCGGGAACUGUGAGACAGGUGCUGCAUGGCUGUCGUCAGCUCGUGUUGUGAAAUGUUGGGUUAAGUCCCGCAACGAGCGCAACCCUUAUCCUUUGUUGCCAGCGGUUAGGCCGGGAACUCAAAGGAGACUGCCAGUGAUAAACUGGAGGAAGGUGGGGAUGACGUCAAGUCAUCAUGGCCCUUACGACCAGGGCUACACACGUGCUACAAUGGCAUAUACAAAGAGAAGCGACCUCGCGAGAGCAAGCGGACCUCAUAAAGUAUGUCGUAGUCCGGAUUGGAGUCUGCAACUCGACUCCAUGAAGUCGGAAUCGCUAGUAAUCGUAGAUCAGAAUGCUACGGUGAAUACGUUCCCGGGCCUUGUACACACCGCCCGUCACACCAUGGGAGUGGGUUGCAAAAGAAGUAGGUAGCUUAACCUUCGGGAGGGCGCUUACCACUUUGUGAUUCAUGACUGGGGUGAAGUCGUAACAAGGUAACCGUAGGGGAACCUGCGGUUGGAUCACCUCCUU
rnacentral:rRNA from 1 species